rnacentral:rRNA from 1 species
UACGUAGGGUGCGAGCGUUAAUCGGAAUUACUGGGCGUAAAGCGUGCGCAGGCGGCGCGUUAAGACAGGUGUGAAAGCCCCGAGCUUAACUUGGGAAUUGCACUUGUGACUGGCAUGCUGGAGUGUGGCAGAGGGAGGUGGAAUUCCACGUGUAGCAGUGAAAUGCGUAGAGAUGUGGAGGAACACCGAUGGCGAAGGCAGCCUCCUGGGCCAGCACUGACGCUCAUGCACGAAAGCGUGGGGAGCAAACAGG